ACGGGAGGCAGCAGUGAGGAAUAUUGGUCAAUGGGCGAGAGCCUGAACCAGCCAAGUAGCGUGCAGGAUGACGGCCCUAUGGGUUGUAAACUGCUUUUAUAAGGGAAUAAAGUGAGUCUCGUGAGACUUUUUGCAUGUACCUUAUGAAUAAGGACCGGCUAAUUCCGUGCCAGCAGCCGCGGUAAUACGGAAGGUCCGGGCGUUAUCCGGAUUUAUUGGGUUUAAAGGGAGCGUAGGCCGGAGAUUAAGCGUGUUGUGAAAUGUAGAUGCUCAACAUCUGAACUGCAGCGCGAACUGGUUUCCUUGAGUACGCACAAAGUGGGCGGAAUUCGUGGUGUAGCGGUGAAAUGCUUAGAUAUCACGAAGAACUCCGAUUGCGAAGGCAGCUCACUGGAGCGCAACUGACGCUGAAGCUCGAAAGUGCGGGUAUCGAACAGGAUUAGAUACCCUGGUA
rnacentral:rRNA from 1 species